rnacentral:rRNA from 1 species
AGCGUUGUCCGGAAUUAUUGGGCGUAAAGCGCGCGCAGGCGGCCUUUUAAGUCUGAUGUGAAAGCCCCCGGCUCAACCGGGGAGGGUCAUUGGAAACUGGAAGGCUUGAGUGCAGAAGAGAAGAGCGGAAUUCCACGUGUAGCGGUGAAAUGCGUAGAGAUGUGGAGGAACACCAGUGGCGAAGGCGGCUCUUUGGUCUGUAACUGACGCUGAGGCGCGAAAGCGUGGGGAGCGAACAGGAUUAGAUACCCUGGUAGUCCACGCCGUAAACGAUGAGUGCUAAGUGUUGGGGGGUUUCCGCCCCUCAGUGCUGCAGCUAACGCAUUAAGCACUCCGCCUGGGGAGUACGGCCGCAAGGCUGAAACUCAAAGGAAUUGACGGGGGCCCGCACAAGCGGUGGAGCAUGUGGUUUAAUUCGAAGCAACGCGAAGAACCUUACCAGGUCUUGACAUCCCGCUGACCGCCCUGGAGACAGGGCUUCCCCUUCGGGGGCAGCGGUGACAGGUGGUGCAUGGUUGUCGUCAGCUCGUGUCGUGAGAUGUUGGGUUAAGUCCCGCAACGAGCGCAACCCUUGAUCUUAGUUGCCAGCAUUCAGUUGGGCACUCUAAGGUGACUGCCGGUGACAAACCGGAGGAAGGUGGGGAUGACGUCAAAUCAUCAUGCCCCUUAUGACCUGGGCUACACACGUGCUACAAUGGAUGGUACAAANGGCUGCAAGACCGCGAGGUUUANCCAAUNCCAUANAACCAUUCUCAGUUCGGAUUGCAGNCUGCNNCUCNCCUGCAUAA